CCUACGGGUGACAGCAGUGAGGAAUAUUGGUCAAUGGACGAGAGUCUGAUCCAGCCAAGUAGCGUGAAGGAUGACUGCCCUCUGGGUUGUAAGCUUCUUUUAUAUGGGGAUAGAAUGUUACACGUGUGGGCUUUUGUAUGUACCAUAUGAAUAAGGAUCGGCUAACUCCGUGCCAGCAGCCGCGGUAAUACGGAGGGUCCGAGCGUUAUCCGGAUUUAUUGGGUUUAAAGGGAGCGUAGGUGGGUGGUUAAGUCAGUUGUGAAAGUUUGCGGCUCAACCGUAAAAUUGCAGUUGAAACUGGCAGGCUUGAGUACAGUAGAGGUGGGCGGAAUUCGUGGUGUAGCGGUGAAAUGCUUAGAGAUCACGAAGAACUCCGAUUGCGAAGGCAGUUCACUGGACUGCAACUGACACUGAGGUUCGAAAGUGUGGGUAUCAAACAGGAUUAGAUACCCGAGUAGUC
rnacentral:rRNA from 1 species